UGCUCCUCUUUUCCCUUUGUU
ensembl:piRNA 21ur-6972 ncRNA